rnacentral:tRNA from 1 species
GGACGCGUAGCUCAGUGGUAGAGCGGUUGUCUUAUAAACAACAGGUCCCUGGCUCGAUCCCAGGCGCGUCCACAA